AAAGAAGAUCCGGGAGUGUGGCUGGUAAUGCAGUAUUCAUUUAAUUGGGAGCAGGUACCGGUGCAAACUUCUCCAUUUUAAUUGGAAAAAGGGAAGGGGAUUGUUAAGGACGAAGGAAAAAAGAAUGCAUAAAGUUUCCAAGCCGAGGAGCCAAAGGCAGCCCUGUCUAUGCCAGAGAAAGAACUCAAUUUAGGGCAAUUUGCUCUGCAAGCUGGGCUGCAGCCUCCCCUGGGAAUAGGGAUGAGGAAGAAAAUGAAACCAAAAGAGAACUUGAUAAAAUCACCUAGCACAGACAAUCUCGGUAGAAUAGGUUUUACUGAGUUAAAUCUGCCCCAAUCAAUAUGAUUCUUUUCAUAUAAGUUACAAAUAAAAAGCCACAAGAUUACAAUAAAAAUCGAGACUCGAGCGCUGCUGAUGUUGCACCUGGGAGUCUUAAGAACUUGUUAUGGAAUAUAUGUUUUUGCAACUAUAAUGUUUGUUUUUCCUUUCACCCUGGUCAUGUGAAUCAACUGUUUGCUUUCCUUCUCUAUCCAUUUAGUUUUAUAUAUUGUUUUUAAAACCCAACAGAGGCAACUCUUUCUGCUUAAUUUCUCUUACACUAGAGGUUGGGGAUCGGUGGUUUCAUUUUGUUUUCCAAUGUGUUGAAUCUAACGUAGUUCUGAUUUCUCAUACUAAUAAUAAAUGAAGAGAUUUCUUCUUAUUGUAUAUUUUUGUGAUGUAAGGAAUUAUAAAUGUUAAUGUAUGAGUAAAGGAAUAAAAGGGAGGCAAGACUUCAUGUAAGAAGGGAAAGAAAUGCUUUUGAGGCAUAUAAGAAACUAUUAAAAUAGAACAUCUUAUAGUUUAUAUGUAAUAAUUAUUAAUAAUCUUUGACUGUGCUGGAGAAAUAUGAAUUUUGAGCAGCCGAUGGUUUCAAUGUGAUAAUUUUUUUUUAUCCUUAGUGAAUAAGGAGGCAAAAGACUGGAAAAAAAAAUUUAGUCUUUCUUCCAGUGUGGUUGACUAAUCAACAAAGAACUUGGAGACAGAUACUUUAUUUUAGUACAUAAAAGUACGUCUUAAAGAUUAAUAUAAAGGACUUAGAUCUCAAGUUUCCUGGCACUUUUGUUUUGUUAUUAAAUUUCUUUAAAAUAAUGCAUAAUGGAAAAUAAAAGGAUCAUGGUGCCUUGUUGUGGUAGAUCUCACUUUCAGUCUGGUUGGUUAUACAUUCACUGUUUGUAAACCUAAAAGAAGAGUUGACUAUGAACAUUUUAUCCUUUGAUGAUUAUCACUGUGGGUUGGCGAAAUUUUUGCUAAUAUGUGCUAGCAGACUGUGGAUUGAUUAUUUGACUUUAUCUCAGUUACUAGGAAGUUCGGAUUAGAACUGAAAAGAGACUUUUCUGGAUAGAGAAAAAAGAGUAACAUUUCAAAAUGUGAUGAGAUGUUACUCCAAAUAUUCCUUCUCAUUUUUCUUGAUACCAUGCUAAAUAAAUGAGUCAAUUUAUCCAUCAAAAAUAUUUAUAGAGGACUUCUCCAUGUUAAGCACUGUAGAAAAUGCAAAGAUGAGAAUAACAUAGAACUUGUCAUCAAGAAACUUACUUUAUAAAUGGGAAGGC
rnacentral:lncRNA from 1 species